rnacentral:rRNA from 1 species
UACGUAGGGUGCAAGCGUUGUCCGGAAUUAUUGGGCGUAAAGAGCUCGUAGGCGGUCUGUCGCGUCUGGUGUGAAAACUCAGGGCUUAACCCUGAGCUUGCAUCGGGUACGGGCAGACUAGAGUGCGGUAGGGGAGACUGGAAUUCCUGGUGUAGCGGUGAAAUGCGCAGAUAUCAGGAGGAACACCGGUGGCGAAGGCGGGUCUCUGGGCCGAUCCUGACGCUGAGGAGCGAAAGCGUGGGGAGCGAACAGG